rnacentral:rRNA from 1 species
GACGUAGGGCGCAAGCGUUGUCCGGAUUUAUUGGGCGUAAAGAGCGUGUAGGCGGCCAAGUAGGUCCGUUGUGAAAACUGGAGGCUUAACCUCCAGCUGUCGAUGGAAACCAUUUGGCUAGAGUCCGGAAGAGGAGAGUGGAAUUCCUGGUGUAGCGGUGAAAUGCGCAGAUAUCAGGAAGAACACCCGUAGCGAAGGCGGCUCUCUGGGACGGUACUGACGCUGAGACGCGAAAGCGUGGGGAGCGAACAGG